GUGUAAUAGACCACCAAGGCUAAGACGGGUAGCUGGUCUGAGAGGAUGACCAGCCACACUGGGACUGAGACACGGCCCAGACUCCUACGGGAGGCAGCAGUGGGGAAUAUUGGACCAAUGGGCGAAAGCCUGAUCCAGCCAUGCCGCGUGAGUGAUGAAGGUCUUCGGAUCGUAAAGCUCUGUGGGAAGGGACGAAAAGCCUAACCUAAUACGUUAGGUCUUGACGGUACCUUCUUAGCAAGCACCGGCUAACUCCGUGCCAGCAGCCGCGGUAAUACGGAGGGUGCAAACGUUGCUCGGAAUAUUGGGCGUAAAGCGCACGUAGGCGGUCCGCUAAGUCGGAUGUGAAAGCCCUCGGCUUAACCGAGGAAGUGCAUCCGAAACUGACGGGCUAGAGUACGGAAGAGGGUUUCGGAAUU
rnacentral:rRNA from 1 species